rnacentral:misc_RNA from 1 species
UCUCUCUCUCUCUCUCUCUCCCCCAAGAAAAAUAUUUUUCCAUGUUGUUUCUGGAUUAGUUAAACAUUCUGCAUCUGUCCUAUCGUUCCAAUGAUUAAAUUUUUGCACCCCUUUUAGAAUUGCAGAGUUGCUUUGCUUAUUGUUGACCAUGGAUGAUAGCUUACUUGAUAUUUUAGAUUUUCCAUUAAUGAAAUCUGCCAAUUAGUAAUGCCAUCGUUUUUUAGUAUAAAGGAAAAGCUAUUCUACAGAUCAUGUGUUUUGAAACUCACUGGUUUAAAUAUAUAUCCUUUUCUAGUUACUUGGUUAUUAUGGUAUGUCUGCUUGUUGAAAAUUCAUGUAUAAACAAUUAUCUAACUUUCUUAUGUACUAAUAACAAUUGAAAAAGGUAAUACAAUGAAUAAAGGUAUGAGCAACUUUUCUGGCAUGGUAUCCUGCAACUAUUUGAGAUAGUUGCUUAGUUUUGUAGUGUAGGUAUACAUUACAAAUGGAGUAUUUGAAAUGCAUCAAAGUCCUGAAUAUGAGAUUCUUGAAUAAGUGCCAGCCCUUGUUCAUUAACAUGCUCUUUCCUGGCUGAUGCCAAAUCUGUGCACCCUUUCCUUCAUAUGAAUUGGACCUAUUGUGCUUGUCUCAUACCUACUUGAACUAUUGUUGAAAAUUAACAGCUGUUAGUAGUAGAUAUAUACUUUCAGAAUACAUCGUUUGGGCCAUCUGGUUAAAAGAGAUAAGGAGAAACUUGUGCCGGGUGGAUUCAUCAUGUGCCAUGUGGUUUUGGCUUUUAUAUGUUGGAUCAAAAGAAAACUUCUGCUGGCUUAGACCAAGCAUAGCCCCAUUUUAGCCAGGAGUCAGAAAUGUGGUUGUGAGUGUGAAAUAUGAGUGUCCUUGCUCUUAUCUCUUCAGCUGUUCCCUGCUAAAAUGGAUCCUUUUUCUGAAAAGAAAUUAUUUUUGAGUGUGAAAUAUGCUAGCAUAUGUUUGAGUUGCUUGGAGAACUAAACACUGCUUUAAUGCAGUUUGCAUUCCUGUGAUUUCUACAAACAAUGACAUAGACAUUUAUACUAUAUUUGGGUGUUGGAACAUGUGAUUUCUGCAAUAUGAUCAAAUGACUCUUUCUGUUGAGUGGGAACACCUGAAGCCUGUACCAAAUACAAGCGACAACAAGGUUUUCCAUCAUCGGGAUAUGUCUGCAUUGAUCUUGGCAAGCUGCGAAGCUUGUUGAACAGAUUUAGUGGAUCGUCCAAGAGCCCAAAAUGAGCAUCAGGGUCACCGGUCUGUGAAAGCUUGACAUGGGAAAACCCUAGAGAUGGCAGCAGAUGAUCAGGCCAAUCACAGUAGAAGUGGAAGAUGGAAUUGGGCAGAGUGGUGGAUGGUUUAUUCAUGAAAUCGGCCAAGAGGACUGUGUGGGCAAGGGCACACUUGUCAGCUAUGAUCUUCAGUACUUGCGUGGCGUGGGAGUGAGAAAGGUAGUAGAGGAUACCUUCUAGGAUCCAGACCGUGUUCUUCUCUGGUACAAACCCUGAUAUCUGAAGUUUUUCAAGCAAGUCAUUAUUUCUGAUGUCAGCUGCUACUCUGUUGAGGGACUUUGCUGUUAUUUUUGGAUGCUUAUGUUCAUCUAUGGAUCCCAUUGCUGCCUCUAGAAGAGUGGCUUUCACUUCUAAGACUUCAGGAAAAUCAACUUCAAAGACAUCGCUUUCCCUCAAGCAGCUUAGACGGUAUGCCCUUGUAUCCAUUCCCAAUGUAUAAUAUGCAUAAUAUGUUACUACCUGAACUUCUAAUAAUAAUUAAUGUUGCUGAACUUUGAACAGGAAAGUAUCAGGGCCAGCUUAAGACAACACAACCAUUGAUAGUGUGAGCUUUCCAAAUCAGAAAUUUAAUUGGCAGGUUUGGUUUCAAAUAUCUGUAUUAUUUGGAACAUAUUAAGAAAUGUGCUUAGUAGGGACCAACCUGCACCAAGGAGAACAACCUGUGCUUCGCCAUUGAAGGAAUUGAGAGCAGUCUCAAGUUUUGAAUCAAACUGGAGGUUUCGAAUGGCGAGAAGCACUCCUGAAAUAUCUUGUGCAUUUUUGAGGCAAUCAUUCUUUAUCUUCUCAUGAAAGUUUUUGAGGUAUGUCUCUCCUGCUAGUAAGUCUGCAAGUGGGUCAUGGAUCACAUGUCUCCACAAGGCUCUUCCAGCUGCUGUUUGGCGUGCUGACUGUAAUCCCAUUCACUUUGAAUUGUUGUGUGGAGCUCUUUAGCCGUUUCAUUAUAUAAUAAAUGUGGAAGCUUUAGCUCUAGCCAUUUCGGUUCUUCCUGCGAGCCAUUUUCUUGGUCUGACAUGUUUCUGGAUUUGCAGAGAAACAUGAAUAGUAAUGGAAGAUAGUAGAAUGGGAGAGCAAGUGAUAUACUGAUAUGUAAGUGGAAGGGUUUAUGGGAGGAAUCAGGCGUUGUUGCAAGAGAGAAGAAAAGAGAGGAACACGUAUAACCAACGUUUUGAGAAUCAAGCAAAAUCGUAUCCAGCUUCUCUGCCUAGAGAAAAAGGAAGGCAGCAAUUUAGUCCACAGGGUACGACCACUUCUUUUGCACCCUUCCUUUUCUGCUGCCUCUUUCUGUUGAAACAAGACGCUGUGAAUUUUGAAUUGAUCCCACUACGCACAACAAUAGGACUUAUUAUCAGCUGUAGGUGGCUCUCAACCCCCGCAUUGGACUUGGAUUAUAAUAGUGAAGAACAUUGCUUUGUCCAAACAAGUACUUGUUUGUCUUUGGGUCACUUAUGGCAGUGAUCAAGUCCUAUUCCAGGAGUGCAGGUUCCAAGAGGGUUACAUCGGCAAUUGGGUGGUUCUGAUUGAGACAAGGAGCCUAUUUUAAAUUUUAACCUGAUAGAAGUAGACCCUGCUAUUGGUUGGUUCAGAACCAUAAUUGGACUAGGGUAGGACCAGAACUGGUCAAACUCAUGUUUGACGCGAACCAUGAAUGAACUGGAACCUUUCAGUUGGGUUUUGGGUCAAAUUCGAUUUUUUCAUCUAAAAAAUUAAAAUUUUUUUUUAAAAAAAUUAGACUAUUGGAUUUGAGUUAGACCGAAUUGAACUAGAUUGACUCGUAAUCAAAAUUGGAACCUUGAGAAUUUAAGGGACAGUUCAGGUUCACCCUUUUGAUGAACUAUGAAUCAAUAGUUUCAGACUGGUUCGUAUUAGAAACAGCCCAAUGUCCGGGCCAAGAUGGAAGGAACCCAAUAGGCCGUUUGGAUAUUUCUUGGAUAUUAAGUUAUUCACACAUGCUAUCCUUUGGCAUGGGCCCGAUAUUGAGAUGAAGCUUAUAUGUGUGCUCGUAUAAGUUGCACAAGGAAAUGUUAAAUGUUUGUAGCUGCUAUUUUCCGUUCUGUUUGCCAUUAUUUUCAAGAAUGAUUUCAGCCAUGUCACUAAAUUUAUCAUUUUUAUAUGGUCAUUAAGCUUUAAAUUUUUAUUCUAAUUUUAUUGAAAUGAAAUAUAAUAUUCUUGUAAACGUGACCAAAUUAUUUGUUAGAAUUUGAA